rnacentral:rRNA from 1 species
UACGUAGGGUGCAAGCGUUAAUCGGAAUUACUGGGCGUAAAGCGUGCGCAGGCGGUUGUGCAAGACCGAUGUGAAAUCCCCGGGCUUAACCUGGGAAUGGCAUUGGUGACUGCACGGCUAGAGUGUGUCAGAGGGGGGGUAGAAUUCCACGUGUAGCAGUGAAAUGCGUAGAGAUGCGGAGGAACACCCGAUGGGCCGAAGGGCAGCCCCCCUGGGCUAA